rnacentral:rRNA from 1 species
GUCUGUGGCCAUUGCCACCCUGAAUGUGCCCAAUCUCAUUGACCUUGGAAGCUAAUAAGUAGGGUCAGGCCUGGUUAGUACUUGGAAGGGAAACCACCUAGAAAUACCAGGUGCUGUAGGUG